rnacentral:rRNA from 1 species
GAUGAACGCUGACAGAAUGCUUAAUACAUGCAAGUCUACCUGAACUUCGGUUUGGGUGGCGGACGGGUGAGUACCGCGUAAAGAACUUUCCCCACAGAUUGGGACACCAUUUGGAAACGAAUGCUAAUACCUGAUAUUAUGAUUUUAGGGCAUCUUUGAUUUAUGAAAGCUAUAUGUACUGUGAGAGAGCUUUGCGUCCCAUUAGCUAGUUGGAGAGGUAACGGCUCACCAAGGCGAUGAUGGGUGGCCGACCUGGGAGGGCGAUCUGCCCCAAGGGGACUGGGACACGGCCCGUACUGAAACGGGAGGCAGGGGCGGAAAAUAUAGGGCGAAAGACCAAGAGUCUGAUGAAGGAAUUCGGUGUGUACGAUGAUGUUUUUCGGGAUGAAAAGUGCUUUCAGUUAGGAAGAAAAAAAUGACGGUACCAACAGAGAAAGUGACGGCUAAAUACGUG